UGGGGAAUUUUGGACAAUGGGCGAAAGCCUGAUCCAGCAAUGCCGCGUGUGUGAAGAAGGCCUUCGGGUUGUAAAGCACUUUUGUCCGGAAAGAAAUCCUUGGACUCUAAUACAGUCGGGGGAUGACCGGUACCGGAAGAAUAAGCACCGGCUAACUACGUGGCCAGCAGCCGCGGUAAUACGUAGGGGUGCAAGCGUUAAUCGGAAUUACUGGGCGUAAAGCGUGCGCAGGCGGUUUGCUAAGACCGAUGUGAAAUCCCCGGGCUCAACCUGGGAACUGCAUUGGUGACUGGCAGGGCUAGAGUAUGGCAGAGGGGGGUAGAAUUCCACGUGUAGCAGUGAAAUGCGUAGAGAUGUGGAGGAAUACCGAUGGCGAAGGCAGCCCCCUGGGCCAAUACUGACGCUCAUGCACGAAAGCGUGGGGGAGCAAACAGGAUUCAGAUACCCUGGUAGUCCACGCCCUAAACGAUGUCAACUAGUUGUUGGGGAUUC
rnacentral:rRNA from 1 species